UGCUAAAUGGAAUAUGCCUCUGGAGUUAACAGCAGCUUCAGCGCUCUUUUCCUUCUGUUAGCCCAGGACAGCACCGCAGCGAGGAUGGUGACAGCCUGCUGAGAGCUGCAGUGCAGCACUGCGUGUAUUUGACAAGCUGAGUUUGACACUCAGUCUGGCAGAGUGUCAGUUUGUCAAAUACCCCAAGUGAGGCACUUGCUGAGCAACACGGCCGUGCACCGAGGCGAUGGACUCCUUCACGCCCAUAUUCUGCUCCUCUCUAAAAACCCAACAAGCCUCUCCUUGAAUUCAGGGCUCCUGAGGAAACUGCCUGGAGUUGCUCAGGGAAGAUUGAUGCUGGGAGGAAGCGCAGUUUGGAGAAAUCACAUUGUUACAUAGUCAGUGAGGGAAUGUGAAGUCUGGAGCUUAUAUUGAAAGUAAAUCUUACCUAACACAUUAGGCUAGCUGUAAAUGAAUGAGCUUGAGACUUGGAGUGGAAGAAAAGAGAGCCAUGUUCUACAUUUUGUCUGCUGUGAUGACAAUUGGGAAGCUCAGAAGCUUUCAGUUCCUUCCAACAUAGCACUGGCCUCAUACCAUAUGCUUCUGCUCUCUGUGCAAAGGGCUGCAGCUCCCCAUUUUCCUCAUUUCUUUUGUCCUGCUUCACCCAAGACUGGCAGCACCAACACUACUGUUUCAACCCUGCGCCUUCAAGGCCAGCUUCUGUGAGGUGCACUCUGCAGUGAGUGCAUGAGUUACAAAGAGCACAUAGCCCUUUCAGGAUGAGCUACCCAGAGACAAAGCAAAAGAGCCCCUCGCACAUAUUUCCAGCAAUCCCAGCACUUCUCCUCCUCAGCCAGGACACAGCUACCCUCCUCUCCAGCAGGCAGGAGCAGGGAGCAGGCCAGGUGGAAGCACCAGCAACACACGUGUGCAGAUCAAUGCUUAGCAUGAGGCUGAGCCCCGCGUAGCCCCUGGGGACACAGUCCUGCUGGGUGCUACCUGCAACUCAGGAAGCUCAGCAUCCUGGCGCUGCAGCACAGCCAUCGUGCAGUGCCUGCAACUGUGGUUGAAAUAAUGAGAGGAGCGUGGUGUGGGCUUGAUGUCUCUCACCUGUCCUCUCUAAAAAGGAAACCCAGGUCAAACUUCCAAGUCACAGAGUCAGAGAUUCCCUUACAGUUGGAAGGGACCUUCAGAGGUCAUCUAGUCCAACUCCCCUGCAAUGAACAGGGACAACCACAGCUCCCAGGUUGCCCAGGGCCUGAUCCAGCCUUACCGUGAAAGUUUCCAGGGUUGGAGUAUCCUCCACAUCUCUCUGCAACCUGUUCCGGUGCCUCACCACCACAUAUCCAACCUAAAUCUCCCCUUUUAUGCUUGAAGCCAUUUACCCUUGUUCCAUCACCACAGACCCUGCUACAGAGGCUGUCCCCUUCAUUCCCACAGCUCCCCUUUAGAUACCGAAAGGCCACUCUCAGGUCACCUCGCAGCCUUCUCUUCAGGCUGAACAGCCCCGGGUCGCAGCCUGUCAUCGUUGGAGAGGUGUUCCAUCCCUGGGAUCAUUUCUGUGGCCCUCCUCUGGAUGCUCUCCAACAGGUCUAUGUCUCUCCUGUCUGGAUGCAGUGCUCCAGGUGAAGCUUCACAGCGUAGAGUAGAAGUGCAGGAUCACCUCUCUUGCCCUGCUGGCCACACAUCUUUUGAUUCAGCCCAGCAUACGGUUGGCUUUCUGGGCUGUGAGGCAUACUGUUGGUUCCUGUCCAGCCUUCCACCCACCAGUACCCCCAGGGCUUUUUCAUCCAGGAUCUCCCUUACUCAGUCACUAUUCCAAAUGCCUCAGAUUUCUCUCUGCAAUGCUUUUUUAUCAUUCCUUUCAUCCCCCAGUUUGUAUUGGUAGUGAGGGUUGCCUCGACCCAAGUGCAAGACCCCACAUUUGGAUCUGCUGAACUUCAUGAGGUUCACCUGGGCCCACUGCUUGAGCCUGUCUCAGUCCCUCUGGAUGGCAUCACAUCCCUCUGGUGUGUCUGCCACACCUCACAGCUUGGGGUAUCAGCAAACUGCUGAGGGUGCACUCGAUCCCACUGUUGCUGUCACUGAUGAAGAUAUUAAAGAGUAUCAGUCCCAGUUCUGACCCCCGGGGGACACCACACAUCACUGAUCUCCAUCCAGACAUGGAGCCAUUGACAAACACUCUCUGGCCUCGAUUCUGCAUCCAGUUCUUUGUCUGUUGACCAGUCCACCCAUCAAAUCCAUCUUUCCAAUUUGGAGAAAAGGAUGUUGCUACUGUGCCAAAGGCCAAAAGUCAAAUGCUGGCCAUGUCUGGUCUGUACGCCUAUCCGUUCUACAUAAUCGAACCAGAAGACAGAGAAAGAGCACAAAUUUGCAAACAACAGACAUGUGAAGGCACUGUGUGGUAAAACACCAAGAAAGCCAGAAAGCAUCUACUACAGAUGCUUUUGAAGUACUUUAUAUUUGCCAUGGGAAACAAAUGGCAGUGCACUAAUCAAGGCAUUUUACAAAUGAAAGCUCACGGCACCCUCAUUAGGUAGACAAGCAUGAACAUCCCAAGUGUAACCAGAUUUAGUCAUGUCCCAUACAGUGAGUCGGUGUCAGUCUGCUGGAUCCAGGAUCUCCCUUACUCAGUCGCUGUUCCAAAUGCCUCAGAUUUCUCUCUGCAACGCUUUUUUAUCAUGCUUCUGGCUUCCACACUGCAAAAUGAAGUGCUAGCAAUCCCUUCAAAACCAGCUCUGCUUUGCCAGAAGAAAAACAGAGGGUGCUAGUUAAGAGGCUCAUCACCUACAGGGUUAUUCCCACUUGUGAGGAGCUCCAGUUUGAUUGCUAAAUGAUAUUCCUGAGAUAUCAACCCCUUCUGUAGUCUUUUUAGUAUCCUCUAACAACAAGACAACUCCAGAACAAACAAGCAGUACGACCAGUAUCUGCUGGACUGUAAAAGCCAGAAGCCAUCCAUUUCCAGUACAGUUCUUGGCUCCUCGCAGUCUGGCAUGCCCAAACAGGGGAACAUGCACUUGAGAGUGCGUCUUGCUGGUGUUAUUGGCUAGCAGUGUUGCACCCAGCUGCACUUUGACCUGGAGGCAAAGGAUGUUUCUGUUUCCACCCCUUCAGAGCAUUUCUUUCUCACUUUGCUCCUUCAGGCUGCUCAGAAAUUAUUUGCUAUUUAAAAAUGUGUGGACAGACAGCCGCUUGGCUGAAGGUUUCUGCACCACUGGGCAGGGACUCAUUUGCCAAAUCCUAAGAAGUUCCCCUGAGUUAAAGAAAGCAGUAAAACUGGUAUAUUUAUCAGAGGAGAAGGCAGACAGGAAGAAUAGUUUCCCUUGGUAAAGUUUACCGCUCAGUAUCUGUAGCCUCAUCUUCUGCACAGCUGCUCACGUGGGAAAUGCUGGUACUCUACUGAAAGUUCUGUACUUCGUAUUCUGAUUCCAUUGCAUUCACAAGGGUCUCACUCUCAGCAUCUUUACUCAGGCAUGUGCUCUCAUAGCUGUUGCCUGUUAUGCUCUCAUAGUUGUUGCAUGUCACGGUAACAUUUUCAUAGGAUUCUUCAGUCUCAGAAUUUAUCUUCUCUUUUCUGCACUUAACAGGGACUUCCACAUCAGUGUCCAAUCUAAUCACAUCUGCAGUGCUGUGGCUGAAACAAAGAGACAUUCUUAAGAAUGAGGACUAAAUCCCCCUUAACAGCUGCUAUCUCACUCCACCUCCUCUGCAUAAUGGAGAGAAUGUAAGAUGGACAAGUUCUCGAAUUAAGUUAGAGGCACUUUAAUGACAAAAGCAAAGGCCACGUGUGGAAGCGAUCAGAAAGAAGCAGGGUGAUUUAUUCUUUGCUUCCCAUCGGCUGUCAAUACCCAGCCACUGCCUGGGAAUCCGAGCCUCAGUACACGUGAUGGUUGCUUCCAAAGGCAAUUGAUGUAACCAGAAACGCCUCCCCCAGCUCCUCCCACAUCCCUCAGCAUUACUGUUGAGCUGGGUGUCAUACGGUGUGGAAAAUCUUUGUGGUCAGGAUAGGUCAGCUGUCCUGGCUGCGUCCUACCCAAGCUGUUGCCAACCCUGACCUGCUGGCCUCUGUGGGUUGGAAAGAGAGCCUUGGUGCUGCACAAGUGCUCAGCAAUAGCCAAAUCCCUGUGGGGUUACUGACACUGUUUUAGGCACAAAUGUAAAGCAGUGUUAGGGGUGUUAUGAGGAAUAUUAACUCUGUCCCAGACAGAUAAAAGAAAUCUCUGGCUUUUUGCUGAGUAAAAAGGCUUUUCUGAAACAAAUAACAGUAUGAUGCCCUCAAAAGUCUUCUCUACAUAAUAGGUGAAAAAUUGUACUUACAAAGCAACUUCAUAGAUGGAUUCUGAAAAAAAGGAAGAAUUGAAGAUAUGCAUCAGUACAUUUUAUGACGAAUGUACCCCAGAAAUAAAAAUAAAAAGGGAAGAAAGCAAGCAAAACCAACAAAGAAACCACAGAUGCUUCCAGGUAUUUGCACCUUCAGGAAUCCACCUUGUUGCUCCCUGGGGGGACAGUGGGGCAAGGAGGGGGCCAAGGCAGAGUGAUGGGACUGUGGGGAUAGGAAUGGGGCUGGAGGGAGCACAGUGCCCUGCCCUACCUGCCCACCCCUAUUAAAAAGAUGCUGUUCUGAAUGCCUUUAACAAAAAUAAUUUUUAGAAAGUGCAUGCUCUUGUGUGUUCAAGCAUUCAAUAAAUAUAUUCUGUAUUUGUUAAUAAAAAGGAAAUGCCUUUUUCAGUCUUUCA